rnacentral:rRNA from 1 species
UACGUAGGGUGCAAGCGUUGUCCGGAAUUAUUGGGCGUAAAGAGCUCGUAGGCGGUUUGUCGCGUCUGCUGUGAAAACUCGGGGCUUAACCCCGGGCCUGCAGUGGGUACGGGCAGACUAGAGUGCGGUAGGGGGAACUGGAAUUCCUGGUGUAGCGGUGAAAUGCGCAGAUAUCAGGAGGAACACCGGUGGCGAAGGCGGGUCUCUGGGCCGUUACUGACGCUGAGGAGCGAAAGCGUGGGGAGCGAACAGG